CUCAUAGUAAUAAGCCAAAACAGACUUAUUAUGACCCAGAGGGAAAUGUAUCAGUUCUAUUGACUUGAGAGGAUACAUUUAUGUCAUAUUAUUGUAACAAAAAGAGAGGUUGCUUAUUAUCCUCGUGAGAACAUUUUGGCUGCAUUACCCUGACAGUGUCUGCCUCAGAAUGUAUUUUCAUACUGAAAAGAUGGCUGCCAUGUUUCUGUUGAUAACAAAAUCAGAAUUAUUUUCACAGAAACAUUUAAAUUCUGCUCUGUCAGAAAUUACUCUGUCAUUCUAUUAAAGGAAACUACCUUGAAAUAGACCAUGAGCAUUACCUUUCUGCAUGCACAGUUAUUUGUUUGGGAAGGGAACAGGAGAAGGAGUAGAAACUAGAAGGUGCUCACAAAGGCACAAAAA